CAAAUAUGAGAGCCAUCACCCCACUCUUCUGUCUAAGACGGCUUCCACCCUAGCAGCGGUAGGUGGCAAUAUUACACUGGCGAAGAAGAAUCGGAUGAAUCAAGGUUUUUUAUACAUUAUACAUGGAUAAUAGUGAGGAUCUCAGCUGUGAAGAAGAAAAAGAGGUUUUAUUUUGGGAUGAUGUAAUUCUUGAAGAUGACAAUGUUGACAAGGAAGAUUAUGAGUUUGAAGACAAAGAUGAACAUGCAUUAGAAGAAAUUGUGUGCAACGAAAUAGUGUAUGACAUUGAGCAGGUUGAAGAGUAAGAGUUGUUCUUAAAUGAAGUCAUUGAAGGCUCAUAUACAUAUACGGAUGAUGCCUAUGAAAAUGAACCUGGUUUGAUGGAAAGGGAAAUUUCUAUAUAGGGUGAUUUUGUUGACGUAACAGUGUUAGAGCAAGAAGUAAAUUUAGAUGAAUGCCUCUGCAUUAUGUUGAAGCAGCAAAUCCUGGACACUAGUUUCGAUAACUUGACAACACAUGAUUUUGUGAAGCACACAUUCUUUGAUUUGGAUUUGGCUUUCGAGUUUUAUAACAAAUAUGCAAAGUCUCAGGGUUUUAUGCUAGGAAAAGCAAAAGUAGAUGGUUAAAGAGCGACCAACUCGUGAUGAAAACGUUUGUCACCGAGAGGGAGUCGGAGAGAAAAAAUAUUAUAGUAGGGAGAAUCAUAAGCAAGAGGGCGGCUGCAACGCCCGUGUGUAGUUACGAUUCUAUGUUGAUAGUUCCAGAUGGGUUGUUACCUAUUUUUGUGAUCAACAUAACCACAAAUGUCUUGAUCCUCGGAUUACUAGAAUGCUGCGUAGCCAUAGGAAAGUUUCUAUCGUAGAUAUGGCUCAUAUCAACAACUUCAAAGAUGGCAGUUUAGGACCUAAAAUUUUUGGACUACUGGCAAGUCAAUCAAAAGGUUAUGAAAAUAUUGGGUAUGGGUUACAAGACAUCCACAAUAAAAUUUCUAAACAGAGGCAACAAUGUCUUGGUGAUGCUGCCACACAGUUCUUGCGAUGUUUGAAAAAAUGAAAGACCCAACUCUUUUCUAUAGGUACUUGAAGGAUAAUAAAAACCAAUUGACAAGACAAAUCUAUCUUGGUGUGAUGGGCGAAGUAGGAAAGAGUAAAAGAUUUUUUGAGAUGUUAUUGCAUUUGAUACAACAUAUAAAAAUAAUCGCUACUAUUGCCCUUGUCGUUAUAUUUUUCGGGGUAAACCAUCACAACCAGUCGAUUGUGACACUAGAUACCACUAAUCUUAUUGGACAGUAUUUUGGAAGAGUUCAA